rnacentral:lncRNA from 1 species
UUCCGCCUCCACCGCAGCGCCGCCUCCGACGUCGCCGCUUCCUCUCCGCCCGCACGCAGCGCCGCCCUCUUCCUCUGCCGCUCGCACGCAGCGCCGCCCCCGUGCUGCGACCGCCUCCGCCUCCACCGCAGUGCCGCCCCCGUGCUGCAACCGCCUCCGCCUCCACCGCAGUGCCGCCCCCGUGCUGCAACCGCCUCCGCCUCCACCGCAGCGCCGCCCCCUUCCUACGCCACCCACACGCAGCGCCUCCCCCGUGCCACGAUUCCCUUAACCCUUCCCUCCUCUUUCUUCCACUGAUCGCACCCCCCCUUCCCCUCUGUGGGAUCAAGGGUAACCCCAUCUCUCCUCCCCUUUCUUCUUCCUUCACGGCCGAACCCACCUCACCUCCCACCCCACCUUCAUUUUCUCUCUCGAGCCGAUUCUCUCAUCGGGCCCGCGCCCGCACCCCCAAAGAAUCCACCGGGCCCGACUCUCAGGCCCUAAACACCGGGCCCAAUCCGAUUUCCUCCUCACAGGCCCAAGCCCGUCGGCCUGCAACGCCACUGCAGAGCCCAUUUCGACCUGCCGUGUUGCUGAGAUCAACCCCAACUGGAGCCGUUUG